CUUUUGCAUUCCUUUGGCGUAAUUCCACAUGCAGUCACUAGAGGGCGCCGACCGCGCCGGUGGAGUACAGUUUGCUUCUUUGUGAAAUGCUAACGGAAGCGCUAAGUGUUUUCAUCUAUUCUGGAACCGAAAGCGGGGAAAGGAGAACACUACACAGUUCAUGCAGCUACAACAACUCAUCGCUCAAACAGGAAGUUAACAGCCAAAGCGACGCCUGUUGUUUGUGAGCAUAAAGUUAAUCUGCUGCCAGACUGAUCGAGGGGAAUGUUCAGCUCGUCCUUGACCGGGGAUGAAAGGUGACCGCUCUAUAUUUGGACUUCCAGCGUUCGUCACUCCGAGUGUCCGACAGCUGGCCGAGCUUCUGCCACGCGGCUGCUCCCACAACAUUCCUGAAAACUGAAUUCACAGCGUUCCGGUGGGACAAAAGUAGAAGUAUCUACGACUAAUUUUCAAAUUUAUAGUUUGGAGAAAUAAAGCUUUUGUCCACUA